AUGGCCGCUGCCUGGGGGCUGGCGAGCCUUCUUUGGGGAGGGGCCUCCGUGAACACCGAGCAGACCCGGCCCGGUCUGGGGUGGAGUCCCAGCUCACUGAGGUCCAGACAGUGUCUGGGGGCGAGCGGGGGUCACCAGGAUGCGGGGCCUCGCCGUCACCCUCCCCCGCAGACGUCCCUGCGAGGGCCUCUCCUGUCAGAGAAAGUCCGGAGGGGCUGGAGUGUCUGCCCCCUCCACUCCCACUGGUCCACACCCAGAAAGAAGGACGCUGCCCGGAUUCAAGGACGUCCUUUAAUCGCAAAUACGUCUCCACAGUCUGGCCACAGGCAGGAAGCGAGUGCGGUGGGGGUUAUUGGGAGACAGCUCAGACCACCCCCAGCAAGACCAACAGCUGCGCCCGCACCCUCCCUGCCCCUGGGCUGCCUUCCCAGGCCAACGCCUGUGCUUGACCAGGCGCCUGCUCCUCCAGACCACCAGCACCGUCACGAGCAGGGUCACCAGGAUGGGGACCACGAUGAAGGGGCAGAGGACGCUGCUGGGUGGGUCCUGCAAGGCCCUGCCCGAGACGGGGCAGUUUCUGAAGAAGCGCUGGUGGACGGCGAGGAAGAGAUAGGUAGAUAAGCGUACAGACAGACGGAUAGAAGGAUACCUAGAUAGGUAGGUAGGUAGGUAGAGUGAGACAGAUAAAGACAGGCGCGCAGGGGCAGAUAGUAGAUGCAAUGAUAGAUACGUAGAUGGAUGGAUGGAUGGAUGGAAAGAGAUAGAUGGAGAGAGAGAUAAGGAGGGAGCCAGAACACCAGAGUUCGUAGAUAAGAAUACCUUCUUAAGUGAAGAAUGCAAAGAAAUAGAGGAAAGCAAUAGAAUAAGAAAGACUAGAAUUCUCUUCAAGAAAAUUGAAGAUACCAAGGGAACAUUUCAUGCAAAGAUAGGGAUAAUAAAGGACAGAAAUGGCAAGGACCUAGCAGAAGCAGAAAAGAUUAAGAAGAGGUGGUAAGAAUACACAGAACUACACAAAAAAGGUCUAAAUGAUCGGGAUAACCAUGAUGGUGUGGUUACUUACCUAGAGAGCCAGACAUCCUGGAGUGCGAAGUCAAGUGUGCCUUAGGAAACAUUAAUAUGAACAAAGCUAGCGGAAGUGACAGAAUUCCAGCUGAAUUAUUUAAAAUCCUGAAAGAUGAUACUGUGAAAGUGCUGAACUCAAUAUGUCAGCAAAUUUGGAAAACUCAGCAGUGGUCAUGGGACUGGAAAAGGUGAGUUUUCAUUCCAAUCCCAAAGAAAGGCAAUGCCAAACAAUGCUCAAAGUACCUCACAAUUGCACUCAUUUCACAUGCUAGCAAGGUAUUGCUCAAAAUCCUUCAAGCUAGGCUUCAACAAUAUGGGAACCGAGAACUUUCAGAUGUACAAGCUAGAUUUAGAAAAGGCAGAGGAACCAUAGAAUAAAUUGCCAACACUCA
rnacentral:lncRNA from 1 species